rnacentral:sRNA from 1 species
AUGGCAGACAGACGACGUCGACUGCAGCGAUAUUGGAAUAGAUCGUCCAGAAGGGUGAUUCGGGACCGUCAGAACCCCUUAGAGGUGUAUACUGACGACGAGCUUUUUGAGCGUUAUCAAUUUAGACAGGUGUCGGUAGUGUAUCUUCUGAAUUUAAUAGGUGGUACCUUAUUAGAAAGCACUAGAAACAAUGCCUUAUCCCCGAUGUUGCAGCUGUAUGUUUGUCUUUGCUUCUUAGCGACAGGCGCUUAUCACAAACUCAUAGGUGAUAGUUUGAAUGUAUCAGAGUCCACCGUCGGCAGAUGUUGCAGAUCGAUCACUGAGGCCAUCCUCCAUGUUCGAAAACAAUUUAUUGUUUUUCCGAGAGAUGAUGAAGCUCGGAAAACAAAGCAAGAAUUCAUCAAAAUUGCCGACCAACAAAUGGACGCAUUUGACGAGACCGCCCACCAAGUUGAGUGCAAUUCUCCAGAGGGAAGUCACUUGCGAGAUCAUAUCGCACAGACGUAUUUCGGUUAG